GCAUAUGAUAUCACUUAUAUGUGAAACCUAAAAAAAACGAUACAAACGAACUUAUUCUCAAAACAAAAACAGACUCACAGAUUUGCAAAGCUAUUUAUGGUUACUGGGGAAAUUAUUUAUGGUUAAAGGGGAAAGUGGGGGGAGGAAUCAGUCAGGAGUUUGGAGUUAGCAAAUACACAUUCCUAUAUAUAAAACAGAUGAACAAUAAGGACCUUCUAUACAGCACAGGAAACUGUAUUCAAUAUCUUGUAAUAAUGUAUAGUGGAAAAGAAUCUGAAAAAAAAUUAUUUGUGGAUCACUUUGUUUUAUGCCAGAAGCUAGCACAACAUUGUAAAUCAACUAGGCUUCAGCAAGAAAAAAAAAUUAAUAAAAAUAUGCACUCCUCUCACAAGAUUUAUCACGUGCUUGAUUCUUUACGUUCUGUGCAUGUUCUGGUGAUAGUUACAACCCAAACUGGAAAAUAUCCAACAGAACAUCCACAGCAGAGUGGAAAAAUAAAUUGUGGGGUUUUUCACACAAUGAACUAUUUCACCACCACAGGAAUAAACCCUCUCCAACUUGAUGCAACCAUCAGACCAAAGGUCAAGUGAAAGGAGCCGCAAAAUCACACAUACUGUGGAUUUCAUCUCUGUUGUUGCUGUCCAGUUGCCAAGUCAUGUCUGACUCUGUGUGACCCGGUGGACUGUACCACGUCAGGCCUUCCUGUCCUUCACUAUCUCCUGGAGUUUACUGAAGCUCAAGAGGCCACUGAUGUCUCUGAUGCCAUCCAACCAUCUCAUCCUCUGUCGCCCCCUUCUCCUGCCUUCAAUCUUUCCCAGCAUCAGGGUCUUUUCCAAUGAGUUGGCUCUUCAAUGAACGAUGGAGAAAACUAUAUGAGAGGUCAGAGGUGGGGGAAAUAAAUGACUCCUUUCAAUUGAGAGAAUGGGAAAGCCACAAUCUGAGCUGGCUCAAGAAGACCUGGGAUGUAAUUACAUAAGAAUCAACAGGAGGAAGAGAGGUUCCGGAAGAAGCCACAGAAGGGCAAACAGCAGAAAGAAAGGAUGCUCUUUUAGGCGCUGGGUACCAGAGACAGCAGAGAGCGCCCAGCAUGCCCAGUGGAAACCACCAAGGUCUCUGAUUCCAUCAAAGAUGGCAGCCCUCAAGACUAUACCAUCCGCCUCCAGGAAUCAGGAGAAUCAGGAUGGUGGAGUUCAAGGAUACGCGCUCAUCUCCUGCGUGAACACCAAAAUCGCAACUAGCAGCGGAACAACUCCUGACAGGAGGGUGUUGGAACACACCGAGAAAAGAGACCCCAUGUCAAGGACAAAGGAAAAGCCGCAGUGAGAUGGUAGGAGGGGUGCAAUCGCAUUAAAAUCAAACCCCGUACCCGCCAGAGAUUCUCGGAGGGCACAACAAGACCUCAUGUGCACCAGGACCAAGGGAAAGGAGAAGUGAUCCCCCCCAAAAAAGAGACAGAGUCAGACCUGCCUGUGAGUGUUUGACGGUCUCCUGCGGAGGCAUGGGUCAGCAAUGGCCCGCCGUGGGGACAGGGGCAUUGGCAGCAGCAACUGCUAUUAGAAGACAUUAUAGCACCUAGGGCUUGGGUUUGGGAGCUGGAUGGAUCUGUAUUUGAGAUCCACUUGCUUGGAAACUGCCCGGCUGUGUUCCUUUGAAUAAACAUCUUAACCU
rnacentral:lncRNA from 1 species